rnacentral:rRNA from 1 species
UACGGGGGGGGCAAGCGUUGUUCGGAAUUACUGGGCGUAAAGGGUCUGUAGGUGGCCAACUAAGUCAGACGUGAAAUCCCUCAGCUUAACUGGGGAACUGCGUCUGAUACUGGUUGGCUUGAGUGCAGGAGAGGAAUGCGGAAUUCCAGGUGUAGCGGUGAAAUGCGUAGAUAUCAGGAGGAACACCGGUGGCGAAGGCGGCUCUCUGGACCACAACUGACGCUGAGGCGCGAAAGCUAGGGUAGCGAACGGG